rnacentral:lncRNA from 1 species
AAAAUAGAAGCUUUUCAUAAACCAAAACAAGAAUUGAAAAUUGUCAAAAAUACUUUACAACCUCCUCCGGAAAUAAAAAAUUUCAAAACUGAUUCAACUGAAGAAAUUGAACAGCUUUUAAAAGAGAAACUAAAGAAUAUUGUUUUUUAUUCAAAUAUUACUGGAAUUGAUUUACAGCCUCAACCUGUUUUCUCUGCAAAACAAGAAAAUU